UACGAAGGGGGCUAGCGUUGCUCGGAAUCACUGGGCGUAAAGGGUGCGUAGGCGGGUCUUUUAAGUCAGGGGUGAAAUCCUGGAGCUCAACUCCAGAACUGCCUUUGAUACUGAGGAUCUUGAGUGUGGGAGAGGUGAGUGGAAUUCCCGGUGUAGCGGUGAAAUGCGUAGAUAUCGGGAAGAACACCCGUGGCGAAGGCGGCUCUCUGGGACGGUACUGACGCUGAGACGCGAAAGCGUGGGGAGCGAACAGG
rnacentral:rRNA from 1 species